ACUCCAGUCACUUUCCAGGCAAGACAGGGCUACCUUCAGCAUCUCUAGUGAAAGUGGUGAAUUAGCACUUCAGAAGUGAGAUGGCAUGGACAGAAGCUUCUGGGGCUGAGCUCACCAUUGGAAGCUUCUUUCCAGCUUCCUGAAGGUCUCUGGAGGUCUCUUCUUACCGGGGAGGAUGAUCCCUGGUGGCUCCCUGCUGACAUUCUUCAAAACUCGGCUAUUUCCCCAGUGUCCUGCUGAUAAAACAGAAGAGGAAAUGAUGAAACUGUUUGCAGUGGCCUGUAGUGAAGUGGCUCUUUCUGCCCUUGCUGUGCGUCUCACUCCAGGACCUCCUGAAGAGCGCUGAUCCUGCACUAUACAUGUGGUUCUUCUCCUAUGCCUCCCGACUUGUCAGAGAAUUUCUUGAGGACAUGGAUGACUGUCUGGCAGCGACAGUUCCAGGAUGCCAGUGUCUCUACAUCGUGACAACUUUGAAUGUGACCAUUGUAUCACCUAACGUCAUAGACUUCAAAAAGGGGAGGACAAAGGAAGGAAGGAGAGAUUUUAGAAAAGUAGUUUCUCUGUGCUCACUUUGGAAGACUUGGAUUACCAAAAUAUUGAAAAAUUGAAUCAAAAGCUAUUAAUCUGAAAAGAAACAAAUUAGCAGGGCAUAUUGUUUUCCUUGAAUGCUUUAGGUUAUAGAACAGGUUAAUAACAAUAUGAAUUCAACAUAGUGGGUCCCAAAGAGGAAAUGAUGAAACAAGAGAAUGAUCUGGAAAAGUGAUUUUCUACUGUCCUAUAGAAACAAAUUAAAGACCAAAACAAUAUUAUUUUUUUUUAAUGAUACUUUAGUUCUAGGGUACAUGUGCACAAUGUGCAGGUUUGAUACAUAGGUAUACAUGUGCCACGUUGGUUUGCUGCACUCAUCAACUCGUCAUUUACAUUAGGUAUUUCUCCUAAUGUUAUCCCUUCCCCCGUCGCCCAACCCCACGACAGGCCCGGGUGUGUGAUGUUCCCCGCCCUGUGUCCAAGUGUUUUCAUUCAAAACGACAUUAUUAUAGAACUGAUAAAUAGAUAAAAAUCAUCAAAAAAAAAAAAGCUGAAUAGGCACAACUCAAAAUAAGCUUACAGACAGAAAAAAAUCCUUAAGAUAAAGAUAGAAAUUGCAUGUGAAAAGCACAAAGCAAUUUCAGCCUAGUUCUUAAGCCUGGUUGUAGACAAUCUGCAAAUAGGACAGACAAAAUAUUCAAAGCUAUAAAACAAAAAAAAUUGCUCUGACAAAUGCAGAAACGAAUCUGCAGAUUGAAAGAGCACACCAUGACCCAAGAAAAACAAAUACUAAAUGAUCAGCACUGAGACAUAUCCUCAUUAACUUAUCAAACUUCAAGGACUUUUUUAAAAAGUAUUUUGGCAUAGGACAUAAAAAGUAAAGGAAGCCAGUUAGGGUUGCCUUUGACACUAACAAUCAAUUUUGCAUGCCAAGCUAUAAUAAAGCACUACCUAGGAUUUCCAAGGGAAAGUGUGACUCAAGAGUAUUUCACCCAUCCAGAAUGAGUUUCAGUAUAAAAGUCACAGAUAAAUAUUCUGACCCACGACAGAACUCAGGGAACACACACUCAUGAGUCCUUCUUGAGAGGAAUUAUUCAGUGAUGAACAGUCAAUUUAGAGAUGAAUAGAAAUAAAAUAUUUGGAAAUAUAGAGUCUGGGAUAAAAAAGACUUCUUAGGAACACAUAAUUCAUUUGAGUAUGGAACUCAUGGUAUUAAACAAUUACGGGAUUAAUGUUUCCACAACAGAAUGUGAAUAUUAUAAGCAAAGAUAUUGUAAAAAUAAUAUUAGAGCCAAAAUUGGGAAGUGAGGGGUAGGGAGAUGGGAGGAAGUACAAGUCUAAAGAUUUACUCAUCUUUCCGAUGUGUGAGUCAUUCAAUAUUGUCUAAAACUGAAACAUGUUGCUAAAAAAAUAAUGACUCCAACAUUUUAACAUUUUUCAUAGUAUCUUUUCUUAACCUUAUUUCCCCAAGAGGGAAUAUUGAGCAAAUAGUAUCUCCUGUGGUAAAGAAUAUUUAAUGAAAGGGCAACAAAUUUUCAGUUUUAUGUUAGUUUUACUUUUCUAAUGUUCAAUUCAAGUAACAUUAAAUCCAUUAGUUUUUUGAAGAAUGUGUAUAAUAUGAUCAUCUUUAUGUAAAAAUAUUUUUGCCUGUCUAUGUCUGUUUCUCUUUCAAUCUCUCUUUAGCAUAUGACAUGGCUUGACUCUGUGUCCCCACUCAAAUCUCACCUUGAAUUUUAAAAUCUCCAUAUGUCAAGGGAGGUACCAGGUGGAGAUAAUUGAAUCAUGGGGAGAAUUUCCCCCAUGCUGUUCUCAUGAUAGCGAGUGAGUUCUCAAAAUAUCUGAUGGUUUUAUCAGGGGCUUCCCCCUUCACUUGACACGCAUUCUCUCUCCUGCCGCCCUGUGAAGAGGUGCCUUCUGCCAUGAUUGUAAGUUUCUUGAGGCCUCCCUAGCCAUGUGGAACUGUGAGUUAAUUAAACCUCUUUUCUUUAUAAAUUACCCAGUCUUGGGUAUUUCUUCAUAGCAGGGUGAGAAUGGACUAAUGCGGCAUACAUUUCUCUUUCCUCUCCUCUCCUUUCCAAAUAGUAACUGGAUUUUCAUUCAGAUUUCCAUCUCUCUGCCAGGCAACCUAAGUACUUCAGGGGACUGUGAACCCAGCUCCAGGGCCAGGGUGGAAUGAUUGGGCUAAGGAUAAUUCCUUAUCCCAGGGAACUCAGGUCAAAACCAACCAGGGUGUGGCAUAUUCCUGCAGUAGAAUCUGGAAUGGGCUUGUGACCCAGCUCAGGCCAGUGAAACAUGAAGGAAGGCUUGGCGGAGAAUUCUGAAGAAGGAGCUUCUCAGCUUUUAAGAGAAGCUCACCAUAGGAAACUCCCUCUCUCCCUCUGGACUUGUUGGUUUAAAGACGCAAAACCUGGAGCUGCUACAGACAUUUUUCACCACUGCAAGUGAAGACUUCUGCCCCAUAGACAGCGACUGGAAGCUGGAUCAGGCCAACCCUGAAGAUCACUCUGUCUCUGGAUGUCGGUUACACAAAUCAAUACAUUUCCAUGUGUUAAAGCAAUUCGACUUGGAUUUUACAUAUAUUUUUGAAACUGAAAACAUUGUAAUCUAUAUAUCUACUUAGAAAGAUGUGAAAUAUCCACCUAAUAAUAAUCAUUUGGGGUUACUAAUAAAAAUUAUUUUUACUUUUCUUCAUUGCUUACUUUAUAA
rnacentral:lncRNA from 1 species